ACUUUCCUCAUCCACAUCAUUUUGCAACAUUUCCUUCCUUUGCUAAUUGUCAUCAUCUAAUCAGUUAACCAAGUUCAUUGAUAAUAUGUAUCUCUAGGACAACACAAAUUUCUUUGAGCAGCAACAAAAACAAAAUAUUUCAAAACUUAAACCACUCAUUGCGAAUUUCUAGUCCUCUUGGCUGUGAACAGUUGGCGAAGGAAAGCAAACUUUCCUCUUGCACGAGCAGAAAACUCAGCCAUGGUGCCACUGCUUGAUGCCGCUGUCUCAUGGGUAUCAGAUUCUGGGACAGAUGUUGAUGGUGCAGAAAGAGUGAAAAGGAAUGCAUUGAGCAUACGGAUGAUCUGACUGAAACUGGGCCUCAAAUUAGGGUCUUCGACCCAACAUGACUGAAUGAUAAAUGCAAGAUCAGGGGAUAUGUCUUCCGGAAGACUAGGCCUCUCUUGCUUAAAAGCAGCUGCGUAAGCAGCCUGCAAAUUUGACAUGCCUUCAAAUGGCAUGCGGUUGGUCAGCAACUCCCAUAAGACGAUUCCAAAACUGUAGACAUCAACCUUGUUAUUGUAAUGCUUCUUCUCACCCUGCCGCAACGUCACAGUACUAUACAACUCAGGAGCCAUCCAACGGUAAGUCCCAGUUUCAGCAGUCAUCAUUUCAGUGACAGAUUCUUCUCUUGCAAGACCAAAAUCUGCAAGCUUCACAGACUUCUGAUUCGUGGUAAGCAACAAAUUAUCUGGUUUGAGAUCUCUGUGUAUAAUCCCAUUUGCAUGCAGACAGUCCAUGGCUCGAGCAAUGUCAAGGGCAAAAUUUAAAGCUACACGAAGCUCUAAUAGUUUUGGACGAAUGCUAAUCAAAUACUUGCGGAGUGACAUCCCAGGUAAUAGCUCAGUUACUAUCACCAUCAGUGGAUCUUUACAAGCUCCAAUAAACUUGACAAGAUUUUCAUGUUUUACUCGAGACAUCAUGUUAACUUCACGGGCAAAACGAUUUUCCAGGGCAGCUCUUUCUUCUGAAGUGGUCCCUCGAUUAAGCACUUUGACGGCAACAAUUCGAUCACCAUACCUU
rnacentral:misc_RNA from 1 species